UACGUAGGGACCAAGCGUUGUCCGGAAUCAUUGGGCGUAAAGAGCGUGUAGGCGGCUUGUUAAGUCUUGUGUGAAAUCUCGGGGCUCAACCCCGAGCGGUCAUGAGAAACUGGCAGGCUAGAGUGCGGGAGAGGAGAGUGGAAUUCCUGGUGUAGCGGUGGAAUGCGUAGAGAUCCGGAAGAACACCAGAGGCGAAGGCGGCCUGCUGGGCCUUGUCUGACGCUGAGGCGCGAAAGCGUGGGGAGCGAACAGG
rnacentral:rRNA from 1 species